UUUAUUGAUAUGCAAAACUGUUAAUAUACACUGUUAAUAGUGUUGUUUAUGUUGGAUUUUUAGUGAGUUAUGAGCCAAGCAGAGGAUAGGUGUUCAGGCAGGGAAUCAAUGUUGCUUUCGAGAAGCAAACACUGGAAAAUAUCGCAGACCACAUUCUAGAUGGAAUCUGUAAACCAGCUGGACUUGGUCACAACUACAGGGCCAUAUCCAUUCCAGAAGGAUGAUGAUCCAAUUAAUGAAGAUGAUUCAGAAGUGCAGUUGAUGAAGACAAUGACUCAUGAAUGAUGAUUAAAGAAAUAUUUUAGUUGACUUGAACCUUGUUUCACAGGUCCUCUCGAAGCUUUUAGGUUCAAAGUCAAAUCAGGCAAAGAUAAACAUCAUUAAUGACAUUGGUGGCAUUGCUAACGCUGGAAGGAUGACUUUUCUGCUUUGCUCUCAGGAAAUCUUGACAAAUCUUUUAAGGUGGCGGGAAGUUUUGAUUCAGUUGCUGAGAAGGGACUUUUCUAUAGACAAGUGUCCUGAGAAGUUAAUUGGACUGAAAGCUGAGUUGGAACUCUGCACUUUACUAAGUUUUUCUUUAUGAGCUGAGUGUCCUGGAAAAUGCUCCACAUGGCAUGGGAUUGAGGAACCACGGAAGCUUUUCAUUAUUCUGAAGGUGAUGAUCCAAUAAAUGAAGAUGAUUCGGGAAUGAAGUUGAUGCAGAAAAAACGACUCAUGCAUGAUGGUUAAAGAAAAAUUUUAGUUGACUUGAACCUUUUUUCACAAGUGCACCUGAAGCCUUGAGAUUCAAAGUCAAUCAAGCAAAGAUAAGCAUCAAUAAUGAGAUCAGUGGCAUCAUUAAGCCUGGAAGGUAAUAUUAAAGAUUUUAUGUUAGUAAAAUUAACUCAAUUGAUGAAUUGACAUAAUUCUUUUCUGGGUCAAUCAUACUGAUCUGUAAUUAUGCAUAUCACUGAAUUUGUCUUUUUGAAGUCCCAGCUUUUAUUGUAAAUUUAUGUUACCUUUAACUCACAAUGGAUGCAUUGAUCUUGCUAAUUCUAUCUUGUGCCUCGCCACUAGUCAACACCUUCUGCCAGUGACACUUAUUUGUAAUUCAGCUCCUAAUUCACGGGGUCAGCUUUCAUCUUCCCUUCCUUUUGUUUUUUAUAGUUUGGAAGAGUUAGGUGAGCUGGACUGGAUUGCAGAGUGUUUGCUCUGCUGAAACUCUGCAACUUACUGAGGCUUAUUAUUUGAUUGUUUGUGCUCAUGCUUGUCUCAAUCGUCAC